UUAAUGAGGAGAUACGUAAAGACAACACAAAUGAACUGUUUCGGUUUUCUCUGAUGAAUUCCGAGGCCCGGCUAGUGAUGGCCAGGCCGUGCUGAGGGUAGGAUGUGGGAGUGACUCCGAAUUUGGCCCCUGCUGUACUACUAAGGUUGUACGUGGCCGGUGAUGGUCAAGAAACGCCACUGGCCCUACACAAGCCACGCAGAGCUUUGACGUCACAUGUGCCCCUGGAGCCUUGCCUUGCCUGACACAUCUUCCUACUAAAGUAUCAGUGCUGCUCCUCUUCGCCGCCGCUAUACCAAGCCUCACCUUGCUCUACAUGCACUGAACGCAAAGCAGUUACAUCCCUAAAGCUGCUGGCAGGUGUGAAGAGACCUCUACUAACAAACAUUGAAACCUACCUAUUGCUGCACCCAACAUCUCUGAGAUCCACCAUUACUCUUGGCGAGAGCUUCUGGUCUUCGAAUUCCC
rnacentral:lncRNA from 1 species